AACACUGUUAACCUGCGGUACCUGCGGAAGGAUCAUUAUAGUAUAUGGAAUCUCCAUUCUAUAAACCCACUCUGCGUAUCUUGUAACUGUUGCUUCCAUGGGACUUGGUUCCGCCACACCGGCUUCACGGCUGGUGAGCGCCCAUGGAAGGAGAAACAAAACUCUUCUUUGAAAUGUAGUCAGUCUGAACAAGUUUUUAUAAACGUUAAAACUUUUAGCAACGGAUCUCAGAUCGGAAGA
rnacentral:misc_RNA from 1 species